UAUAUAGUGUAGUAGGGCUAGUAGAUAAUCUUCUCUAUUGGUGAACAAAUAAUUUAGUGUAGUAUUACUUAUUGAUAAUUUGGUGAAUAAAUAAUAUGUUGGAAGUCCCUGUGGUAGCUCAUAGUUCUUUUUAAAAGAACUAAAACCCUAAACCUCUCGCUGCGGCGUUUUCCUCGGUGAACGGCGGCUGCCGCGUCUUCCUCUCCAUCGGCGAAACAGCGUCUCCGCCCCCCCGAGUGGGAUUACCAAGCAGUAGGGAGUUAUUUGAUGCUAAAUUGGAGAAUAAAACUUACAGGAUUAUUACUCGAGUUUAGGAAAGAUUCCCAAAAAACAUUGCUACCAGUUGUCCAAAAGCCUGAUGGGAAGAAAAAUUUCAUGGUUUGUGAUCAGAUUUCUGUAAACAAUUUCUGCUGCUAAAUAGAUCUCUAGGUCUUUGUUUAUCUGUUAUAUCUCCACUGACUACUCUAUGUUAUAUUUGAUAUUACUGAUUCUGAGGUAUCAAAUUUAGUUUAAUAUUUAAUUUUUAAAGAAGAAUGGAGUGAUUUGCUUAAUAAAGCUCCAACAAAUCACAUAUGUAGUACCUGGUACUGAAGACUUUGACCACACUGAUAUCUCUGAAUUUGUUCAGAAAGCUCCGGGUCUCUUAGUAAGUUUCAGAAAAUUAGAACUUGGAGACAGUGACAGUGACAGCUGAGGAAUUAGAUGUGGUACCUAUUUUGCAGAAUCAACUUUCCAUGCGUGAACACUGCUAAUCUUUCAUUUUCUUCAGAUUAUAUAUGACAGCAAGGAAUCUCUUGAAAGCUACUGUUCCCAUCUCUUGUUGUCUAGACAUGACAUAUAUUUUAAUGUGGUUGAUGGCAAGGGAUAUUCUUCUCUAUACGGUCUUCGAUGACGAUGGCUUGAUUUAGCUUGCUUCCAUCCUUAUUGUCAUCGUUCCGUCGUAAGUUAUUGAUCCUUGGUCCAAAGAUGGUUUGGUACAGGGAUUCUUUGGGAAAGAUUCUUUUGGUCUAUUUCGUGACCGCCCCUUCCUCGACGAUGGUGGAAAACUUGCCGUAGACACCAUCAUCAGCAUAGAUUCCUUGGUAGAGGCUAAAAAUGAAGGUGCCAAUUGACAAGGAGGGUUUUCUAUAGUUGCAUCGAUGGUGAUCUCAUGUUUUUGCUUGUUUCCUAUCCUACGGUGGCCAUUCUAUUGCAAAUUCUUGAUCCUUGGUGCAGAGAAGUGUCAGUUCAUGGAUUCUUUUGAAUAGAUUCUUUUGGUCACAGAUUUUCAUAGCAAGCUCUGCUGCUGCCUAGCUUGCAAUGAAGAUGGCAAUUGACAAGGAGGUUUUUUUUCUCUCAUUAGGCCAGUGAUGCUUUGUCUUUCUUCCAGCCCUUUCAUUGCUGUUGGAUCACAGAUUCUUGAUCUCUUGGUCCAGAGGAGAAGAGUUGGUAGGUUGGUUCUUUGGGACAUGGAGUGUUCCUUUGCCACAUGAUGGAUUUCUGCCCAUUGGCGAGGAAAUCUUCUGUCAAUUGCAUAAUUGCGUUGAUAAAGGAACCUGAGGUGUAGUAGAUUAUUUGGUCAUAGUGUGUUGCUAUGAUCCUGCUGUUUGUGCUUCUUAUGGAAUGAAGAAGAGAUAAUUGGAUUGGUUGCCGAUAAGUGGCUGAGAAAGUUUAUUCAUUAGUGUUUGAUAAAUCCAGCUAAUCUGUUUGUAAUAUUAUGAUCAGCUUAGUGAGUGUGGGAAGUUCUUUAUGGCAAGCCAAGGCAGGCACUGACCCCAGCCAGUAAAUGAAUGUGAUAUUUAUUCGGAUUGUUGUAAAAAUUUUGCACAAAAUUCCCACCCAGCAUGGUCUUGCACGCAUAGGGGACCAUCCGGAGUACCUAAUGGAGGCAGUUAAAGAAGCUGUGACUUUAAUAGGUCCUGUUAAUGGCUAUGCAGAGCUCAGAUUUUGAUGGUAACUGAGAUUGGUUGUGAGAUAAGUAUAUAAUUUACAGGCAUGACAGAGUAUGCAUGUCAGAACGGUCGUAUGAUGUGGUGUGCAGAUGUUUAUGGUGUUUUUGCUUAUUGGAAGGGUUGAAGGAAAGCUAGUAUUAUUUUAGUUGACCGGACCCGUAGCGAGUCCGAUCAUCGAUCGUCAGAAUAAAGUUGCUCGACUCGGGCGAUUUUGCGAAAAUAUAUAUAUAUACAUAUAUUAUUUU